rnacentral:tRNA from 1 species
GUCGAAGUGGCGGAAUUUGGUAUACGCGUACGUCUCAGAAGCGUAUGGGGAAACCCUUGUGGGUUCGAGUCCCACCUUCGACA